AUUCAUCAGUGCACGUAUCCUGCUAACUAUAAUGGCAGCUUCCAAGGCGGACAAAACUUCAAAAUCAUACCUGAACUCGUUAGCUUAUUAGCGUUAAAAAAUUUCUUACCGCUUAGUUUCCCUAUUCUUGGACACAAUCAUUUUAAAAUUACAUGGUGAUUUUUUAGACUGCUUGCAUAAAAUAAUCGAUCCAGCAUGUAUACUGGACGUCUUAGGCGUUUCAAAUAUAUUUUUGGAUUCAGACGGCAUUAUGUGAACGUAUUCUCCAUCAAUAGCUAGUAGACGCUCAUGUCUUCCCAUAAAUGAAACAGGUUGUCGUUUCCAUACAAGAAAUUCUUGAUAGGUAUUGCUCGACAUAAUAUCUGUUGCAUUGUAUGUUGAAGAUUGUGCAUCUUUCUUAAUAGAUCCAUAAACGGAAUUUUGUGGUGAGGAGGUUGGCAAUUGUUGGGUACUUCCUUUUUUAUCGCGUACCUUCUUUUUAACAAGUUCUAGAGUUGGAUUUCCGUCUAGUGAACUAAAUGUUUUAUCAAGUGGUAAAACAGUAUCAGAUCCAGCAACUCGCAGAGUAUACUUAAAUCGCUCCAAUUGCUUCAUCCAACACACCUGGUUCAACACCAUAGCCAAUCUAGUAGUUUUUGAUAUUUCAAUAUUGCAAAAUCGAGCAUUAUCCCCGUAUGGGGGAAGUCGUACCUGUACGACAUGAGAAGUAUUAAGUGUAUCUUUGACAUCCUGAGCUUGCUUUUGUGAUUGACUUGAAGUUGAACUAGUAUGCCGAAUAUGCGUUUUGUUAUUGGCUUCAGGAAUUGAUGUUGGAUGCUUCGAUUUAAACGGGUAGGCAGC